UACGAAGGUCCCAAGCGUUAUCCGGAUUUAUUGGGUUUAAAGGGUGCGUAGGCGGUCUAUUAAGUCAGUGGUGAAAGCCCCAAGCUCAACUUGGGAACUGCCAUUGAUACUGAUGGACUUGAGUACAUUUGAGGUGGGCGGAAUGUGUCAUGUAGCGGUGAGAUGCUUAGAUAUGACACAGAACACCGAUUGCGAAGGCAGCUCACUAAACUGUAACUGACGCUGAGGCACGAAAGCGUGGGGAGCAAACAGG
rnacentral:rRNA from 1 species